rnacentral:tRNA from 13 species
UGGGGGCGCCGGGUAUCGAUCCUGGUACCUCUCAUCGUAAGCAGCGCUCUACCAUCUGAGCUACGCCCCU